rnacentral:rRNA from 1 species
UUGUUGCCUUUAUUCCAAACAUGUUUGCCAUUUUAAAUGGUAUUCAUGAAAAAAGGCCUUUUAAACUAGAGGGACCGCUGUUACUUUCUUAAACCAGAGGAAGGUUGCGGCAAUAACAGGUCUGUGAUGCCCUUAGAUGUUCCGGGCUGCACACGUGCUACAAUGAUUAUUGCAGUGAGCAUCUCAUUUUUACACACCGCAUGCGCGAGUCCAUUUAUUCACCUUUCUGAGGCGCUUUAAAUGUGUACCUCUGCGCGCGGUAAAGCCUGCUUCGAAAGUAAGUGGGUAAUCAAUUAGAAGUAAUGAUUUCCUUUUUAGCACACAUAUAUACGGCGUCUAUGCCCGGGCUGCCUUGUUGUAGCUUUUGUGCGUAUAGAUGUUUUUUCCGUAUGUGCGAUUGUCAAUUCAUGGUGGGGACAGACCAUUGUUAAUUGUUGGUCUCGGUCUUAACUAGGAAUGCCUUGUACGGGUCUUUGGUUCAACAAACCACCCGGAAUACGUCCCUGCCCUUUGUACACACCGCCCGUCGCUCUUACCGAUGGACUUCUCUGUGAGUUUGAGGGACUGGGAACGCAGAUUCUCUGCACACCUAUGGAAACUUAAACGAACAGUGUGGUCUAAAG